rnacentral:rRNA from 1 species
AUGCCAGAACAUGAGCUAUCUACAGUGGGCAUACAGAAUGUUCGCGAACUGAUCGCUAUAACAGCCUGGUAUUUAUGGUGGGAAAGGCGUUUGCUAGUUCAUCAGGGGAAGAUCCAAGAUGCAUACCAAAUUUCGAUGGGAGACCGUGCUACGAUGACGAACUAUGUUAUUGCCCAAUCCUCCAAGGCAACAAAUAAAAUAGAGGGAUGGACGAGACCCCCUCUAGGUUUUGUGAAAUUAAAUGUCGAUGCUUCUUUCAAUCAAGACAUGCUUAGAGGCACAGCGGGAGCUGUACUUAGAGAUGAUAAAGGAAGAUUUAUUGUUGGAGGGAAUUGGAAGAUGGAUUGA